CCGGCGACCGGCGCACGGGUGAGUAACACGUAUGCAACCUGGCCGUGACAGAUGGAUAACCGGGAGAAAUCCCGCCUAAUACAACAUAAUGCCGGGAGGGGACAUCCCCUGCCGGUCAAAGGGGGCGACCCCGGCCAUGGAUGGGCAUGCGGCGCAUUAGGUAGUUGGUGGGGCAACGGCCCACCAAGCCGACGAUGCGUAGGGGUUCUGAGAGGAAGGUCCCCCACAUUGGAACUGAGACACGGUCCAAACUCCUACGGGAGGCAGCAG
rnacentral:rRNA from 1 species